CGAAAGCCCAGGGAUCGUAGCUGGGAAACGGCGAGCACCAACACACAGGGUUGAAGCAGGAAAGGAACGGAAAAGAUGAUACUGACCAAGCAGUCCCCACCUUCCCCGAAGACAACACCAGCAGUCAGCUUUCCUUUGAGAUGGAGGGAGCCUUCUGGAGAUAACAAUUUUAAGGGAGAAAGAAGGAAAGGAAAACAGAAAAGACCUUCCAAACAGAACUGCAGUUUUGGAAGACAGAGUGGAUUCCUCUGAAAUACGAGAUGCUCAAGUCUAAGAAGAUAACUUCAGGCCCUGAUUCCUAACUGAACUACGAUUAGGGCGUCAAGACAAAUGUGAGCUUCUCCAGUCUCUCGGUUUCAAAAACAGAAUUUUAACCGUAGCAUCAUCUCCCCGCUGCUUCUGGCUACCGAACUGCCUGGGUGAAAAGAGGGGGCAGCCGGACCCUAUUCCCUGAGCGCUUCCGCGAGCAAGGCUGCUAAGUGGAGCAGUGGGGAUACCGGGGGACUCUGGUCACCCAUGGAAUUAUCACGCCACCCAACAUACUUCCAAUUCCCAUAGAUAAAUGAGAUUUGACCACGUUAGGAGAGAUCACGUAUGGGUCGUACAGCAUCUA